AACGCAACUUGCGCUCUCUGGUAUUCCGGAGAGCAUGCCUGUUUGAGUGUCAUGAAAUCUCAACCAUUAGGGUUUCUUAAUGGCUUGGAUUUGGAGGUUGCCAGUCUGACUGGCUCCUCUUAAAAGAGUUAGCGAGUUUAACUAUUGCUGUCUGGCGUAAUAAGUUUCGCUGGAAUGGUAUUGUGAAGCGCGCUUCUAAUCGUCUUCGGACAACUUUUAUGACUUGGCCUCAAAUCAGGUAGGACUACCCGCUGAACUUAA
rnacentral:misc_RNA from 1 species